GUGCUUGCUUCAGCAGUAUAUAUAAUAAAAUUGGAAUGUCAUAGAGAAGAUUAGCAUGGCUCUUGUGCAAGGAUAACACACAGAUUUGUAAAGAGUUCCUUAUUUUU